AUUGAACGCUGGCGGCAUGCCUUACACAUGCAAGUCGAACGGCAGCGGGGGCUUCGGCCUGUCGGCGAGUGGCGAACGGGUGAGUAAUGCAUCGGAACGUACCCAGUCAUGGGGGAUAACUACGCGAAAGCGUAGCUAAUACCGCAUACGCCCUGAGGGGGAAAGCGGGGGAUCGCAAGACCUCGCGUGAUUGGAGCGGCCGAUGUCGGAUUAGCUAGUUGGUGGGGUAAAGGCCUACCAAGGCGACGAUCCGUAGCGGGUCUGAGAGGAUGAUCCGCCACACUGGGACUGAGACACGGCCCAGACUCCUACGGGAGGCAGCAGUGGGGAAUUUUGGACAAUGGGGGCAACCCUGAUCCAGCCAUGCCGCGUGAGUGAAGAAGGCC
rnacentral:rRNA from 1 species